rnacentral:rRNA from 1 species
GGACUACCGGGGUUUCUAAUCCUGUUUGCUACCCACGCUUUCGCGCCUCAGCGUCAGUAUCAGUCCAGAUAGCCGCCUUCGCCACUGAUGUUCCUUCCGAUCUCUACGCAUUUCACCGCUACACCGGAAAUUCCACUAUCCUCUACUGUACUCUAGCUCUUCAGUUUCACGUGCAGUUCCCAGGUUAAGCCCGGGGAUUUCACACACGACUUAUAGUGCCGCCUACGCGCCCUUUACGCCCAGUAAUUCCGAUUAACGCUUGCACCCUCUGUCUUACCGCGGCUGCUGGCAC